CCGCGGCGCCUGCGCAAAUGGCUUUCCUCGAACAAAAAACUGCCCCCUCCCCCCCCUUUACAUCGGUCCUGGGUUCAGGGUGAACGACUGUGUGAGGGGACGAGGCCCGGCCGGCGCCCCAGUGGACGCGGUCACCGAGCCCCCGCCGGGAGCCCGACGAGUCGCGAAGAGGCUGCGGGGACGGGCCGAGCCGAGCCGGGAAGCGCCUGCUGUGAGCUGGGAUUAGCUUGGCCUCCCCUCGCCCCGAGGCGGCGGCGGCUCCUCGCCGAGACUCCCCAGGACCCGGGCUGCCCUGAUCCCGGCGGCGGCCAGCCAGGAUAAUGGCCCAAGCAGCAACACCAGCAUUGUCAGUCCAUGAUGAGGACUCCUCUGAAAGCAGAAUGGUGGUUACAUUCCUCAUGUCCGCACUUGAGUCAAUGUGUAAAGAACUUGCGAAGUCCAAGGCAGAAGUCGCCUGUAUUGCUGUGUACGAAACAGAUGUGUUUGUAGUUGGAACUGAGAGGGGAAGAGCUUUUGUCAAUACAAGGAAAGAUUUUCAGAAGGAUUUUGUUAAAUACUGUGUCUCUGAAGAGGAAAAGGCAGCUGAACUGCAGAAAACAAAGACUACGUCACUUGUAAACAGGCUGACAGUGGAUAUUGUAGAAAUGGAAGCUCUCCGAAAGUCUGUAGAGGAUUUCUUCUGCUUUUGUUAUGGUAAAGCUUUAGGGAAGUCAACGGUAGUCCCUGUGCCAUAUGACAAGAUUCAAAGGGACCAGUCUGCAGUGGUAGUGCAGGGCCUUCCUGAAGGACUUGCAUUUAAACAUCCAGCAAAUUAUGAUGUGACAACACUGAAAUGGAUUUUGGAAAACAAAUCGGGGAUCUCAUUUGUGAUCAAAAGGCCUUUCCUAGAGCCAAAGAAACACCUAGGAGCUCAUGUGACUGUUACAGAUUCUACACGCACAGUUACACCACCAAGUGGAAGUGGCCCUCCUGUCCAAGUAAAAACAGAGCCAAAUGAGGAUUCUGGAAUUUCACUAGAGAUGGCAACAGUAACAGUAAAAGAGGAAUCGGAGGAUCCUGACUACUAUCAGUAUAAUAUUCCAGCAGGCCCUUCAGAAACUUCAGAAAUUGAUGAAAAAAUUGCUCUUGCAAAGAAGUACACAGGAAGCCACCAGGGUUCCGAUUGCAGUGAAGGAACAGAUGUGGAAGUACCAGUAGAAGAUUCUUCUCAGCAUGCCCCUUCUGAAACAAGUGAGGACCCUGAAGUUGAGGUUACCAUUGAAGAUGAUGAGGACUACUUACCACCCAACAAGAGACCGAAGAACACUGAGUCAGCAAAUGAGGCUGCCAAUGCUGGGAGAAGAAAAGUGAGAGAAUUCAAUUUUGAGAAAUGGAAUGCCCGAAUUACAGACUUGAGAAAGCAGGUUGAAGAAUUAUUUGAAAGAAAAUAUGCUCAAGCUAUAAAAGCAAAAGGUCCAGUGUCUAUCCCGUACCCGCUUUUCCAGUCGCAUGUAGAAGACUUGUAUGUGGAAGGACUUCCAGAAGGAAUUCCCUUCAGGAGGCCAUCUACCUAUGGGAUCCCACGCCUUGAGAGGAUACUGCUGGCCAAGGAGCGGAUACGGUUUGUGAUUAAGAAACAUGAGCUUUUGAAUUCAACACGAGAAGAUGCACCGCUGGACAAACCAGCUGCAGGAGUGAAAGAAGAGUGGUAUGCCCGAAUCACCAAAUUAAGGAAGAUGGUAGAUCAACUUUUCUGUAAAAAAUUUGCUGAGGCCCUAGGGAGCACUGAGCCGAAGGCUGUCCCAUACCAGAAAUUUGAGGCACACCCCAGUGAUCUCUAUGUGGAGGGUCUGCCAGAGAACAUUCCAUUUAGGAGUCCAUCCUGGUAUGGAAUCCCUCGGCUGGAAAAGAUUAUUCAAGUGGGCAACAGAAUAAAAUUUGUAAUCAAAAGGCCAGAACUACUAACUCUCAGUCCGACAGAAGUUACUCAACCAAGAUCUAAUACACCAGUCAAAGAAGAUUGGAAUGUCAGAAUCACAAAACUAAGGAAGCAAGUGGAAGAGAUAUUUAAUCUGAAAUUUGCCCAAGCCCUGGGGCUUUCAGAGGCAGUGAAGGUUCCCUACCCUGUGUUUGAAUCGAACCCUGAGUACUUGUAUGUGGAAGGCUUGCCAGAAGGAAUCCCCUUCCGGAGUCCCACGUGGUUUGGAAUUCCACGCCUUGAAAGAAUUGUCCGUGGAAGUGGCAAAAUCAAAUUUAUUGUUAAAAAGCCAGAGCUGGUCACUUCUUAUUUGCCUGCUGGAUUGGCUAGUAAAGUAAACACUAAAGCAUUGAGUCCAAAGAGUUCAAAGAGAGCAAGAAGUCCUGCAAGCAAUUCAAAGGUUCCAGAGAUUGAGGUGACUGUUGAAGAAGGUCCUAAUAAACCACAAACAACAGAUGUUCGAACUAAUUCUCAAACCAAUGGAUCCAAUAUGGGCUUCAAGCCACGAGGAAGAGAGUUUUCUUUUGAGGCUUGGAAUGCCAAAAUUACUGACCUAAAACAAAAAGUUGAAAAUCUUUUUAAUGAAAAAUGUGGGGAAGCUCUGGGGCUUAAAGAUCCUGUCAAGGUCCCAUUUGCGUUAUUUGAAUCCUACCCAGAGGAUUUCUACGUGGAAGGACUACCUGAAGGGGUGCCAUUCCGCCGACCAUCUACUUUUGGCAUUCCAAGAUUGGAGAAGAUCCUGCGAAACAAAUCUAAGAUAAAAUUUAUCAUAAAAAAGCCUGAGAUGUUUGAGGCAGCGAUUAAGGAAAGCUCUGCUAAAAGUCCCCAGAGAAAAACCAGUUCAUCCAAUACAUCAAAUACAACAAGCACCACAACAAAGCCAGUGGUGAACACAGCCGCAGGGGUUGAAGAUCUUAACAUCAUUCAAGUGACUAUACCAGAUGAUGAAAGUGAAAGAUUAUCAAAAGUAGAAAAGGCUCGACAACUGAGAGAACAAGUAAAUGACCUCUUCAGCAGGAAGUUUGGUGAAGCAAUCGGUAUGAAUUUCCCUGUGAAAGUCCCAUACAGAAAAAUCACCAUAAACCCUGGCUGUGUGGUGGUGGAUGGAAUGCCUCCUGGAGUGGCAUUUAAAGCUCCCAGUUAUCUGGAAAUCAGCUCCAUGAGAAGGAUUUUGGAAUCAGCAGAGUUUAUCAAAUUUACUGUCAUUCGGCCAUUUCCAGGACUUGUGAUUAACAACCAGUUGAUGGAGAAAACUGAAUCAGAAACACCAGCCAAGGCACCGGCUCCGGCUCCGGCUCCGGCUCCAGCUCCGGCACCGGCACCAGUAGUACAAGAGCCAGCUGAACCAAGCCAAAUAGAAGUAUCUGUAGAAGAUGUAGCAGAAACAGAAGAAAGUUCUCAAAUAAAACAGGAGCCAGAUCCAACGUGGUAGACCUUAUCAAUAUUAGGAAAAAUCUCAGUUCAAGUUUUGGGACAAAGAUUCAGGGAAAAUGGACUUAACCUAACAGAUGUAAAAAGGUCUGUUGUAACUUCUGUUAACCAAAUUCUACAGACCUCAUUUGGUUUAAAUUCCCAUUGAAGCUUGUGGGAGUUUUGUCUGAGUCAGAAGCAUGCAGUCCGGAGAAGAGCUUGCUGGGACUGUCCUGAGCUGUGUAAUAUAAUUGUAUAAGAGAAGUACCUUCUAUACAAACCCUUUUUGUACUUUUAGAUAGAAAUGUCUACUUUUUCAGCAGUUCUGUGAAUUGACUUAAAGCAAAGAGUGACUGUAGAUUUGGAAAGGUUGAUUAUAUAUUAUAAGGAUUAAAUUUGAGGCAGCAAUGCUGAAAAAAUGACAGGGAUUAAUUCAGAUUUUAAAAAAAUCAACAGGAAUUUAGACGCCGUCUACAUUUCCCAGUAAAGUAGAAUUGUACUGUGCCUGGAUGCAUCUCAGCUUUUGCGAUGAAGAAAAAUACCUACAGUAGUUCAUUAAUUUUCUGUUUUUGGAAAAAAAAAAUAAUGAUUUUUGGUUCUUUCUCCUUAAUGGCUGAUUGGACAAUACUAUCUGUAUAUUUGAACUAAUUUUUCCUAUGAUAUCUAUCUCAAUUCAUAUGUUUUUCAUAAAUAAAGAUGAACUCGUUCACCUGA